rnacentral:rRNA from 1 species
UGGGGAAUAUUGCACAAUGGGCGAAAGCCUGAUGCAGCAACGCCGCGUGAGUGAUGAAGGUCUUCGGAUUGUAAAGCUCUGUCUUUUGGGACGAUAAUGACGGUACCAAAGGAGGAAGCCACGGCUAACUACGUGCCAGCAGCCGCGGUAAUACGUAGGUGGCGAGCGUUGUCCGGAUUUACUGGGCGUAAAGGGUGCGUAGGCGGAUGUUUAAGUGAGAUGUGAAAUACCCGGGCUUAACUUGGGUGCUGCAUUUCAAACUGGAUAUCUAGAGUGCAGGAGAGGAGAAUGGAAUUCCUAGUGUAGCGGUGAAAUCGUAGAGAUUAGGAAGACACCAGUGGCGAAGGCGAUUCUCUGGACUGUAACUGACGCUGAGGCACGAAAGCGUGGGUAGCAAACAGGAUUAGAUACCCUGGUAGUCCAC